CGACCGGCGCACGGGUGAGUAACGCGUAUCCAACCUGCCCCACACUAAGGGAUAACCCGCAGAAAUGUGGACUAAUACCUUAUAUUUUCCACCAAGGGCAUCGUCGAUGGAACAAAGAUUUAUCGGUAUGGGAUGGGGAUGCGUCCGAUUAGGUUGUUGGCGGGGUAACGGCCCACCAAGCCUUCGAUCGGUAGGGGUUCUGAGAGGAAGGUCCCCCACAUAGGAACUGAGACACGGUCCUAACUCC
rnacentral:rRNA from 1 species